AAACCUAGAGAUGGUAUAAAUAAAAAAAAAUUUUGAGCAUUUAAUAAAAAAUGGAACUUAAAAUUAAAUGAAGUAUUUUAAAUACAGUACAUUUAUAUAAUUCUUUUACCUGCCUCCUUCACCUGAAUAACCAUCAGUGUCAGUCCCAUACCCCAGGUACCUAGAUAAUCAUCAGUGUCAGUCCCAUACCCCAGGUACCUAGAUAACCAUCAGUGUCAGUCCCAUACCCCAGGUACCUAGAUAACCAUCAGUGUCAGUCCCAUUCCCCAGGUACCUAGAUAACCAUCAGUGUCAGUCCCAUUCCCCAGGUACCUAGAUAACCAUCAGUGUCAGUCCCAUACCCCAGGUACCUAGAUAACCAUCAUUGUUAGUCCCAUACCCCAGGUACCUAGAUAACCA